UACGAAGGGGGCUAGCGUUGUUCGGAAUUACUGGGCGUAAAGCGCGCGUAGGCGGUUAUUUAAGUUAGACGUGAAAGCCCUGGGCUUAACCUGGGAAUUGCGUUUGAUACUGGAUAGCUAGAGUUUGUGAGAGGGUAGCGGAACUCCCAGUGUAGAGGUGAAAUUCGUAGAUAUUGGGAAGAACACCGGUGGCGAAGGCGGCUACCUGGCGCAACACUGACGCUGAGGCGCGAAAGCGUGGGGAUCAAACAGG
rnacentral:rRNA from 1 species